UGUAUCUUUAAUACGAGUGGAUGAUUAUUAAUAGAAGUUAAUUUGAGAAAGAAUUUUGUUUGUAGAUAUUUGAAUCUAAGAGCUAGUGGGGGAAUAUUACAUUCUACUUGUAAUGAUAUAAUAGGAGUAGACCUAAAAGCGCCUGUUAUGAUCCUUAAGCAUUUAUUUUGUAUUUUUUCUAAUUUAUUCACUAAUGUAAUUACUCCACCAUAACAAAAGAAGGCAUACUCAAAAUGGCUACGGACUAAUGACUUAUAUAGUGUUAGCAAGAUGAGUGGGUCUGCAUUCCAAUAUGUACCAGCUAAUGAUUUCAGAAUAUUGCAGGCCUUUAAUGCUCGAUUUUCUAAUAUUUCAACAUAUUUGUACCAUCUAAAAUUACUUAAAAACGUAACUCAUAAAAACUUUAUUGAAUUAUCUAUUGAAAUUUCCUGAGUAUCAUAUUAUAUUCUUGCAUCUCUUAUUCUUAUAGAAUGCUUUGAAAAUAUUACUACUUUGCUUUUAUCAAUACUGACCUCAAGACUAAGAUAUUGAAAAUAAAGCUCCAAUUUUUUGAGUGAUACAUUAAGAUCUAACACAACAUUUGAUAAAUGAAGUCCUGAACUAUACACUACUAGAUCAUCAGCAAAUUGGAGGAACAUUUAAGGAUAGAAGAAUGGAUGAUAAUUGUUCUAAAUCAACAUUAUUAAAUGCUCCUACAACAUCCAAAAAAACACCAGCCAAUAUCUUAUUGUCAAUCUGGGCACUAUGGAUGUCAAGACAUAAAUGCCGUAUACUCUCACAAGCAGAACAACCACAUCGAAAUCCAAAUUGAUUAUUAGAUUACUGUGUGGAGGAAUGUUGGAUGGAAUUGAAGAAGAUUCAGUUUCCGACACUACCAUGGAAAAUUUUGUGAUUGUAGGCAAGUGAUAGCUGCCCAAAGAGUCCUGAUGAACUUGCCAUUCACAGCACAGGAAUAAUGAAGAUGAUACUAUUGUUAGAUCUAGUCCAUUUGGUCUCCAAGAAUUAGUACCCACUGUUGGGCAUUGACCUGAUACU